rnacentral:rRNA from 1 species
GGUUAAGCGACUAAGCGUACACGGUGGAUGCCCUGGCAGUCAGAGGCGAUGAAGGACGUGCUAAUCUGCGAUAAGCGUCGGUAAGGUGAUAUGAACCGUUAUAACCGGCGAUUUCCGAAUGGGGAAACCCAGUGUGAUUCGUCACACUAUCAUUAACUGAAUCCAUAGGUUAAUGAGGCGAACCGGGGGAACUGAAACAUCUAAGUACCCCGAGGAAAAGAAAUCAACCGAGAUUCCCCCAGUAGCGGCGAGCGAACGGGGAGCAGCCCAGAGCCUGAAUCAGUGUGUGUGUUAGUGGAAGCGUCUGGAAAGGCGCGCGAUACAGGGUGACAGCCCCGUACACAAAAAUGCACAUGCUGUGAGCUCGAUGAGUAGGGCGGGACACGUGGUAUCCUGUCUGAAUAUGGGGGGACCAUCCUCCAAGGCUAAAUACUCCUGACUGACCGAUAGUGAACCAGUACCGUGAGGGAAAGGCGAAAAGAACCCCGGCGAGGGGAGUGAAAAAGAACCUGAAACCGUGUACGUACAAGCAGUGGGAGCACAGAGCAAUCUGUGUGACUGCGUACCUUUUGUAUAAUGGGUCAGCGACUUAUAUUCUGUAGCAAGGUUAACCGAAUAGGGGAGCCGAAGGGAAACCGAGUCUUAACUGGGCGUUAAGUUGCAGGGUAUAGACCCGAAACCCGGUGAUCUAGCCAUGGGCAGGUUGAAGGUUGGGUAACACUAACUGGAGGACCGAACCGACUAAUGUUGAAAAAUUAGCGGAUGACUUGUGGCUGGGGGUGAAAGGCCAAUCAAACCGGGAGAUAGCUGGUUCUCCCCGAAAGCUAUUUAGGUAGCGCCUCGUGAAUUCAUCUCCGGGGGUAGAGCACUGUUUCGGCAAGGGGUCAUCCCGACUUACCAACCCGAUGCAAACUGCGAAUACCGGAGAAUGUUAUCACGGGAGACACACGGCGGGUGCUAACGUCCGUCGUGAAGAGGGAAACAACCCAGACCGCCAGCUAAGGUCCCAAAGUCAUGGUUAAGUGGGAAACGAUGUGGGAAGGCCCAGACAGCCAGGAUGUUGGCUUAGAAGCAGCCAUCAUUUAAAGAAAGCGUAAUAGCUCACUGGUCGAGUCGGCCUGCGCGGAAGAUGUAACGGGGCUAAACCAUGCACCGAAGCUGCGGCAGCGACGCUUAUGCGUUGUUGGGUAGGGGAGCGUUCUGUAAGCCUGUGAAGGUGUGCUGUGAGGCAUGCUGGAGGUAUCAGAAGUGCGAAUGCUGACAUAAGUAACGAUAAAGCGGGUGAAAAGCCCGCUCGCCGGAAGACCAAGGGUUCCUGUCCAACGUUAAUCGGGGCAGGGUGAGUCGACCCCUAAGGCGAGGCCGAAAGGCGUAGUCGAUGGGAAACAGGUUAAUAUUCCUGUACUUGGUGUUACUGCGAAGGGGGGACGGAGAAGGCUAUGUUGGUAGGGCGACGGUUGUCCCGGUUUAAGCGUGUAGGCUGGUUUUCCAGGCAAAUCCGGAAAAUCAAGGCUGAGGCGUGAUGACGAGGCACUACGGUGCUGAAGCAACAAAUGCCCUGCUUCCAGGAAAAGCCUCUAAGCAUCAGGUAACAUCAAAUCGUACCCCAAACCGACACAGGUGGUCAGGUAGAGAAUACCAAGGCGCUUGAGAGAACUCGGGUGAAGGAACUAGGCAAAAUGGUGCCGUAACUUCGGGAGAAGGCACGCUGAUAUGUAGGUGAGGUCCCUCGCGGAUGGAGCUGAAAUCAGUCGAAGAUACCAGCUGGCUGCAACUGUUUAUUAAAAACACAGCACUGUGCAAACACGAAAGUGGACGUAUACGGUGUGACGCCUGCCCGGUGCCGGAAGGUUAAUUGAUGGGGUUAGCGGUAACGCGAAGCUCUUGAUCGAAGCCCCGGUAAACGGCGGUACGUAACUAUAACGGUCCUAAGGUAGCGAAAUUCCUUGUCGGGUAAGUUCCGACCUGCACGAAUGGCGUAAUGAUGGCCAGGCUGUCUCCACCCGAGACUCAGUGAAAUUGAACUCGCUGUGAAGAUGCAGUGUACCCGCGGCAAGACGGAAAGACCCCGUGAACCUUUACUAUAGCUUGACACUGAACAUUGAGCCUUGAUGUGUAGGAUAGGUGGGAGGCUUUGAAGUGUGGACGCCAGUCUGCAUGGAGCCGGCCUUGAAAUACCACCCUUUAAUGUUUGAUGUUCUAACGUUGGCCCCUGAUCGGGGUUGCGGACAGUGUCUGGUGGGUAGUUUGACUGGGGCGGUCUCCUCCUAAAGAGUAACGGAGGAGCACGAAGGUUGGCUAAUCCUGGUCGGACAUCAGGAGGUUAGUGCAAUGGCAUAAGCCAGCUUGACUGCGAGCGUGACGGCGCGAGCAGGUGCGAAAGCAGGUCAUAGUGAUCCGGUGGUUCUGAAUGGAAGGGCCAUCGCUCAACGGAUAAAAGGUACUCCGGGGAUAACAGGCUGAUACCGCCCAAGAGUUCAUAUCGACGGCGGUGUUUGGCACCUCGAUGUCGGCUCAUCACAUCCUGGGGCUGAAGUAGGUCCCAAGGGUAUGGCUGUUCGCCAUUUAAAGUGGUACGCGAGCUGGGUUUAGAACGUCGUGAGACAGUUCGGUCCCUAUCUGCCGUGGGCGCUGGAGAACUGAGGGGGCUGCUCCUAGUACGAGAGGACCGGAGUGGACGCAUCACUGGUGUUCGGGUUGUCAUGCCAAUGGCACUGCCCGGUAGCUAAAUGCGGAAGAGAUAAGUGCUGAAAGCAUCUAAGCACGAAACUUGCCCCGAGAUGAGUUCUCCCUGACUCCUUGAGAGUCCUGAAGGAACGUUGAAGACGACGACGUUGAUAGGCCGGGUGUGUAAGCGCAGCGAUGCGUUGAGCUAACCGGUACUAAUGAACCGUGAGGCUUAACCUU